rnacentral:rRNA from 1 species
UACGUAGGGCGCAAGCGUUGUCCGGAAUUAUUGGGCGUAAAGAGCUCGUAGGCGGCUUGUCACGUCGGAUGUGAAAGCCCGGGGCUUAACCGUGGGUCUGCGGUGGAUACGGGCAGACUAGAGGCAGGUAGGGGAGAAUGGAAUUCCCGGUGUAGCGGUGAAAUGCGCAGAUAUCGGGAGGAACACCGGUGGCGAAGGCGGUUCUCUGGGCCUGUACUGACGCUGAGGAGCGAAAGCGUGGGGAGCGAACAGG